rnacentral:rRNA from 1 species
GAGUUUGACCUGGCUCAGGAUGAACGCUAGCGGCAGGCUUAACACAUGCAAGUCGAGGGGUAUAGUUCUUCGGAACUAGAGACCGGCGCACGGGUGCGUAACGCGUAUGCAAUCUACCUUUUGCAGAGGGAUAGCCCAGAGAAAUUUGGAUUAAUACCUCAUAGUAUGUGAGAAUGGCAUCAUUUUCACAUUAAAGUCACAACGGCAAAAGAUGAGCAUGCGUCCCAUUAGCUUGUUGGUAAGGUAACGGCUUACCAAGGCAACGAUGGGUAGGGGUCCUGAGAGGGAGAUCCCCCACACUGGUACUGAGACACGGACCAGACUCCUACGGGAGGCAGCAGUGAGGAAUAUUGGACAAUGGGCGCAAGCCUGAUCCAGCCAUGCCGCGUGCAGGAUGACGGUCCUAUGGAUUGUAAACUGCUUUUGUACAGGAAGAAACACUGGUUCGUGAACCAGCUUGACGGUACUGUAAGAAUAAGGAUCGGCUAACUCCGUG